AACCUGCCCAAGAGAUCGGGAUAACACCUGGAAACAGAUGCUAAUACCGGAUAACAAUAGAUGAUGCCUAUCAACUGUUUAAAAGAUGGUUCUGCUAUCACUCUUGGAUGGACCUGCGGUGCAUUAGCUAGUUGGUAGGGUAACGGCCUACCAAGGCGAUGAUGCAUAGCCGAGUUGAGAGACUGAUCGGCCACAUUGGGACUGAGACACGGCCCAAACUCCUACGGGAGGCAGCAG
rnacentral:rRNA from 1 species